rnacentral:rRNA from 1 species
ACUCCUACGGGAGGCAGCAGUGGGGAAUAUUGCACAAUGGGCGCAAGCCUGAUGCAGCCAUGCCGCGUGUAUGAAGAAGGCCUUCGGGUUGUAAAGUACUUUCAGCAGUGAGGAAGGCGGGUACGUUAAUAGCGUGCUUGUUUGACGUUAGCUGCAGAAGAAGCACCGGCUAACUCCGUGCCAGCAGCCGCGGUAAUACGGAGGGUGCGAGCGUUAAUCGGAAUUACUGGGCGUAAAGCGCAUGCAGGUGGUUUGUUAAGUCAGAUGUGAAAGCCCGGGGCUCAACCUCGGAAUUGCAUUUGAAACUGGCAGACUAGAGUACUGUAGAGGGGGGUAGAAUUUCAGGUGUAGCGGUGAAAUGCGUAGAGAUCUGAAGGAAUACCGGUGGCGAAGGCGGCCCCCCUGGACAGAUACUGACACUCAGAUGCGAAAGCGUGGGGAGCAAACAGGAUUAGAUACCCCUGGUAGGAUAGCG